UAUCUCCGCUGACUGUCUUCACUGACCAUAACCCCCUCACCUUCUUGAAGUCACUGCAAAAUCCUAAUCAGAGGCUAAUGAGGUGGGCGCUGUUCCUGCAGCCAUAUAACCUAGACAUCCGACACAUUAAGGGGACUGACAAUGUAAUGGCAGAUGCCCUGUCUCGGGCACCUGUGGACCCUUAGUCUAUUUAUUCAUGCUGUCUCUCAUUUCCAUGUUCUCCUCUGCUCAUCUCUCGGCUCUUCAUUCCCUUAAAAUGCUCCUUUGGUACCAAGGCUGCUGGGUUGGUGAGGAUGGAGGGAUGUGCUGGAGGAUGCAGCCUGGGGGGAGUGCAGUACUGACUGUCAGUUAUUGGCUCCACGCCGCUACAGGUUCUUGGUUCUUGGUUCUUUUUGGCGUCUUCCUUGUACACUCAACAGGAGCACACACAUCUCACUCAUCCAUACACUACAUUCACCACUGAUGCCACUACUCUCCACACCUCAUGCUUUUUGUACAUAUAAUUGUUCAAGUUAUAAUAAAACCUUUUCAUUUAGCACUUUCAA